GGCCUUCCCAGCAUCCCUGCAGCCCGUCCAGGGCAGGCUGCUGCCCAUCGGCCCCCGAUCGCAGGCUGGCUCGUGGUUUCCCCUGGUGCGGAGGCGAGUUGUGCUUCCUGCGGGGAGAGAGAAGGGCCUCGGGAAGCUGCUCCAUGACCCCCAGCUGUGCCGAGCCCGGGAGUCUGUCCAGACUUCACAAAACUCCCCAGGAAAGGAAGCUUUAGAUUCCUCCCCAGCUUUAUGCUAAAGGUUUCCUUCCUCCUGUUUCAGCACCCUUUCUCCUGUUGGGAGAGCACAAGGUGGAUGGAGAGGAUCUGCAGGCACAAGGGACUCGUACAACUGCGAUUUUCCUACAGCCCUCAUGAAAGGGACUUCCAGGACACUCUUGGGAAUGUGUCAGCUCUCCUCCUAG